GAAGUGCGAUAAGCAGUGCGAAUUGCAGAACCGUGAGUCAUCAGAUUUUUGAACGCAUCUGGCGCCGGCUGGGUCUCCAGCCGGCAUGCUUGUUUCAGUGUCUUGUUUUCUCCUCACCCAAAUCUUAAUGCGAGAGAUGCCCUUCUCUUGCCAAGCACGAAAGCACUCUGCGCUCUGCGAGCGGCUCCUUCGACUCGUUCGAGGUCCGCACUCAAUGCAGCUGUCACAUUGCUCACAAUGUGAACUCAUUGAGAGUAGAGGUAGUGCAGCUCCCGCUGCCAGUGCUUAGUCACACAAACUUUCCUUGCAUCUGAAAUCAAGCAGGACCACCCGCUGAACUUAA
rnacentral:misc_RNA from 1 species